CGGGGUAUAGUGUAAUGGUAGCACGAGUCUUUUGGGAAGAUUUAGUCCCAGUUCAAAUCUGGGUACCCCGA
rnacentral:tRNA from 4 species